rnacentral:rRNA from 1 species
UACAGAGGUCUCAAGCGUUGUUCGGAUUCAUUGGGCGUAAAGGGUGUGUAGGUGGCGCGCUAAGUCGGGUGUGAAAUUUCGGAGCUUAACUCCGAAACUGCAUUCGAUACUGCCGUGCUUGAGGACUGGAGAGGAGACUGGAAUUCACGGUGUAGCAGUGAAAUGCGUAGAGAUCGUGAGGAAGACCAGUGGCGAAGGCGGGUCUCUGGACAGUUCCUGACACUGAGGCACGAAGGCCAGGGGAGCAAACGGG